UACGUAGGGUGCAAGCGUUUAUCCGGAAUUAUUGGGCGUAAAGAGCUCGUAGGCGGUUUGUCGCGUCUGCUGUGAAAACUGGGGGCUCAACCCCCAGCCUGCAGUGGGUACGGGCAGACUAGAGUGCGGUAGGGGAGAUUGGAAUUCCUGGUGUAGCGGUGGAAUGCGCAGAUAUCAGGAGGAACACCGAUGGCGAAGGCAGAUCUCUGGGCCGUAACUGACGCUGAGGAGCGAAAGCGUGGGGAGCGAUCCGG
rnacentral:rRNA from 1 species